rnacentral:rRNA from 1 species
AGCUCAGAUUGAACGCUGGCGGCAGGCUUAACACAUGCAAGUCGAACGAUGACUCUCUAGCUUGCUAGAGAAGAUUAGUGGCGGACGGGUGAGUAACAUUUAGGAAUCUGCCUAGUAGUGGGGGAUAGCUCGGGGAAACUCGAAUUAAUACCGCAUACGACCUACGGGUGAAAGGGGGCGCAAGCUCUUGCUAUUAGAUGAGCCUAAAUCAGAUUAGCUAGUUGGUGGGGUAAAGGCCCACCAAGGCGACGAUCUGUAACUGGUCUGAGAGGAUGAUCAGUCACACCGGAACUGAGACACGGUCCGGACUCCUACGGGAGGCAGCAGUGGGGAAUAUUGGACAAUGGGGGCAACCCUGAUCCAGCCAUGCCGCGUGUGUGAAGAAGGCCUUUUGGUUGUAAAGCACUUUAAGCAGGGAGGAGAGGCUAAUGGUUAAUACCCAUUAGAUUAGACGUUACCUGCAGAAUAAGCACCGGCUAACUCUGUGCCAGCAGCCGCGGUAAUACAGAGGGUGCGAGCGUUAAUCGGAAUUACUGGGCGUAAAGCGAGUGUAGGUGGCUCAUUAAGUCACAUGUGAAAUCCCCGGGCUUAACCUGGGAACUGCAUGUGAUACUGGUGGUGCUAGAAUAUGUGAGAGGGAAGUAGAAUUCCAGGUGUAGCGGUGAAAUGCGUAGAGAUCUGGAGGAAUACCGAUGGCGAAGGCAGCUUCCUGGCAUAAUAUGACACUGAGAU